UUCCACUUUCAAUAUUUUCUAUACUUCAUCACAAAUUCUCUUUCAUUUUCUUGCACUCCUCCCAGCUGAUGUGGUGCUAAAAAUUAGGGCUUAUCUUUACAAAAUUAUCAAUUCGCAUACGUUGCUGCUUUACCGGUUGUUCAUCAUUUGCACAAAUGAAUAUAAAAGGGGGAUUAACAGAUGAAAUUCAAAUCUCGAAGAUUUGAAGGCAAAUGCUUCCUUGGACAAAAGUCAAGAAUAUGAGCAUAUACAACAAUUUCUAAUAAUAUGUUGGCAUCCUUAGUUUAGCUAAGGCGCAAAAUUUAGCAGAUAUUUGUGCAUGUAAUAGAAUUUUGCACAGACACAAAUUCCUUCUCAGAAGUAUUUGAAACAUGACUUUUGGAUGUAGCAAAUGCCAAAUCAGUUAAGAACGGCAGUUGUAGUUGUGAGUACUAAAGAUGGUCCAUCUGGUAGAUUUCUUGAAGGUUAUGACUGGACCGACGAUAUAGAGACUCGAUAGGUUGAAGGAAAGAAUAGCAUAUGUCACUUUAAAAAUAUUGUUGUAUUGAGGACCAUAUGAGCAAAUACCAGACUUUUCGACAUAUGCUUCUACUCCUUUGUGAAGAAUUUCUAUGAAGGUCAAUAAAAAUGUAUGAUCAACCUGAUUAAUUUUUUUAAGGGUUUCUAUUCACUACUAUAAUUUUCUAGGCA